rnacentral:rRNA from 1 species
AUACCGGGCCUUUUUGGGCUUGGUAAUUGGAAUGAGGGAGAGUUAAACGGACCAUCGAGUAUCCAUUGGAGGGCAAGUCUGGUGCCAGCAGCUGCGGUAAUACCAGCUCCAAUAGCGUAUAUUAAAGUUGUUGCAGUUAAAAAGCUCGUAGUUGGACUUGUGUGCGCUGUCCGCGGGUGGCCUGCGCCCAAAAGGGCGUUUCGGUUCGGCCCCGGUGGCGCCUUGAAAUCCAGCUGGGGGGACGUUGGCCUUAACUGGUCGGCGACCGCACGCCGGCUGCUCGGUUACUGUGAGAAAAUUAGAGUGUUCAAGGCAGGCAUUGGGUGCAAUUGAAUACAUUAGCAUGGAAUAAUAAAAUAUGGCUCCUGCCGUAUUUUGUUGGUUUUGACUGGUGGGAGUAAUGAUUGAUAGGGACGGUUGGGGGUGCUAGUAUUGAGCGGCCAGAGGUGAAAUUCAUGGAUUCGCUCAAGACUAACUUAUGCGAAAGCAUUCACCAAGGACGUCCUCUUUAAUCAAGAACGAAAGUUGGGGGAUCGAAGACGAUCAGAUACCGUCGUAGUCUCAACCAUAAACUAUGUCGACUUGGGAUCGGCGGUAGUUUUUUCAUUAAGACACUGUCGGGACCACGGGAGAAAUCAAAGUGUCUGGACUCUGGGGGAAGUAUGGUCGCAAGGCUGAAACUUGAAGGAAUUGACGGAAGGGCACCACCAGGAGUGGAGCCUGCGGCUUAAUUUGACCCAACACGGGAAAACUUACCAGGUCCAGAGAUGUAGAGGAUUGACAGAUUGAAGCUCUUUCUUGAUCACUUCGGUGGUGGUGCAUGGCCGUUCUUAGUUGGUGGAGUGAUUUGUCUGGUUAAUUCCGUUAACGAACGAGACCUCAGCCUGCUAGUGUAGUCGGCUGGAUUGCCUUUGGCGAUCCGUGAUUUCGACUUCUUUAGGGACAAUCGACGCGCAGUCGAUGGAAGUUUGAGGCAAUAACAGGUCUGUGAUGCCCUUAGAUGUUCUGGGCCGCACGCGCGCUACACUGCUGGGCUCAGCGAGUUUUACUUGGCCGAGAGGCCCGGUUAAUCUUGUGAAAUCCCAGCGUGCUUGGGCUCGCCUCCUGCAACUGGAGGCGCCAACGAGGAAUUCCUAGUAGACGCAGGUCAUCAACCUGCAUCGAUUACGUCCCUGCCCUUUGUACACACCGCCCGUCGUUCCAUAAGAGUGAGGCAUCCGGUGAAUUCUCGGGAGAGCCUGGGCGUGGCCAGCAAUGGUCUGCUCGGGUUUGAACUUGCAUAAACUUGGUGCCUAUGAUUAGGG